GCCUGAUAUUCCUCAAAGCGUGGCAGAAUUUUCCUAGCCCUUCAGUGGUGUGGCUAAUGAGGAGAAAUGUGCGAAACAUCCACAGUUCUUUCAGUUUUUUGUGCUGUUCCUGGUUGUCCCAUUUUGUGCUGCUAUGAAAGUUCACCUUUGGAAACACUUGAUCAACAAACUGCCCAG